GGUUUUAGGGGUUGGUUUUUGGUCCUUGACAGCAGCGGCGGCGGCGGCGGCGGCAACGAGAAAAAAGCUCUUUGCUCCGAGCAACCCCCCAAAGGAAAUGGAAAUAUAAGGACAAGGGGAGCGGAACGGGGUGGAGAGGGAGCGGCAGCAACAUCCGCUCGAAGGGAUGGAGGUCUAUAGGGUUGCAACUGUGGUCGGAGGGGAUCAUGCUUGGCUGCCGCUCGAUUUCUGGGCUAUGCAACGCCUGUCGUUGCCAGACAGCCACCCGACCAUUCGAACACCCUCCCUUCGCAACUCCUGCACCCCCUCGGGCAUCCUCCCCCACCACACACACAACGCGUCCUUGUUCUUGCCAGAAAAAAGGGGGAGUGUGGGAGUUUUCCCAGGAUUUGGCUAUUUUUGGGCCUAGCUAAAGUAUGGCGAAUUUUGUUGCUUUGUUUUGCCAAGGCAAUGGCUUCACAUACAUAGUACAUAUGUACAUACUAGUGUGUGUACUAGUUAAUCUUCUAAGCAGCAGGAGUUGGAAAAAGUUGGGGUAAUAAGCAUAUAAAUAUACCUACUACAUACAUACGAUGAACAAACAAAUUAGUUCACAUUUAGCAUUCAAAAGUUACAAAAAUUGUUUUUCGAUUCUUGUAAAUUUGUCAGUUUUUAGUUGAAGCAAACUAACACCAACGUAGCACCGUUCAGGAAAUGUAAGAUAACCUGCAACAGCAUAAUCUUAUCUCUAGGUUGUUCUAAAACUACAAUGUCGAUUUGAAAGAAAUUAUUUCCUGGUUUCAUAGGUACAUAGUUAAUGGCAAUGGUCAGGGUUUUUAGAUUAAAUCUACUAAUAUAGAUAUCGUAUUACAAGAGUGCAAGCUCUAAAGAGAAAUAGCUACUAUAUGAUCACGAUAUAUGUUAUAACAAUAUAUAUAUAUAUUUGUAAGAAAAGCUGCAGUCUCACAUUUCCCAAGCUAAUCCCCUAUGUUUAUCAUCAGCAUCAAAUUCGGAUUAUAUCUGCACAAUGGUACGCAAAGCUUCGUUCCACUCCGGUUCUCUAAUGGGUUUUUGUGUAGGGUUGGAAAAUCGAUGCUUUUGGUCGGAUCGGGAGUGAAAAUGUGCGCAGUUGGCAUCCGAUAGUGAUGAUGAUGAUGAUGAUGUUGGGUAGUUUCAGGGGGAGUUUGGCUUCCUUUCACUCGGAUUAAGUCGCUAUUGUUACCAAUUCCAUCUUCGUAUCUCCUGCGUUCUCUGUGACCCAAAAAGUAAUGAGCAUAAGAAGAAAAGAAUUGAAAUUUGCAAGCGAAAGAAAACCAGAAAGUUCCAUUAACAACAAAUAUUUUUGGCAGCCUCGAUUUUUGUGCUCUCCUCAGUUUUUUUCGGGACCAAGAAGCUGAGUAACGGGGGCUUAGGGGGUUUUUUCCCGAUUGCGAGCGAGCGUUUUUAGAAAAGCACAGGCCAUCCAUCCAUCACUCGUACACUGGGAACAAAUUCGAGAGGCAUGCCUAAAACUUAAUUGCUUAGUGUUAUCUUCAUACUCAAGUCUAAUAGGUGGUCUUAAUAAAUAUACAAUUUUGUAGUCUCUUUAGAAGUACCGAAUAUACAUGUAAUAUAAAUAGGUUUUAGGAAACUAUUAAAAAAUCUUUUUCCAAGUCAAGUUCUAACACGAUCAAAGUCAUUCAAAGCAUAAUCUCAAUUUUUUUCCUCUGCGCGAAAAUCGCUGUGAAGAGUGUGAGGAAGGGAGAUAGCGAGCGAUAGAGAAAGGGACACAUGCUAAUUCUGUUUUCUGUUUCGAGUUCGAAAUGAAAACGGAGCGAAGCUCAAAAAUUCGAAUUGGAAUUGGGAGCUGUGAAAAGAGCGGCGCGAAAUCAUAAUGGAAAUCAAAAAUAGCAACACACACACACGCACACACAAAUACGGAUGAUCAAACAACGAAGUGUGUGGAAAGAAAAGCCACAAAAAUGUGUUCGACGAAAAUUGUUGAGCAAAAGCAACGGCGGAAAAAAUUUCAAUUACAUAUUGACUUUUGUUUAUUUGCUGGCGGCUUUGAAAUGGAUUGGAAUUUCGGUGUGUUGUGUUGUGUGAAAUCACGGACUCCAGUUUCUUGUGCUUUUUUUGUUCGUGUUUUACUUUUUUGAGCGGGGUGCGGCAUAAAUUUUCACUUUGCCAGGCGGCAUAACAACAACAACAAAAGCAACAGCGGAGUAGAAGUGUUGCCAAAAAUACAAGGCACACGCACACACACACAAACACUGGAAUUUCGAAUGCCAAACGAGUUUUGGAACUCUGGUUCCUCUGCUUCUUCUUUCCCUCGGCGAAUAUUUUCUUCGUCAUUCAAGAGCCAACAACAACAACAC
ensembl:ncRNA lncRNA:acal long non-coding RNA:acal